GCGCAGGUCAGCCAUACGGUGACGCUGCACCAGGUGAGCGCCUUCUAAGCGCUUGGCCGCAGGUUCGAGUCCUGCCGGGGGCG
rfam:Streptomyces lincolnensis strain NRRL 2936, complete genome.